CGAUCUGGGAAAAGUCCCUUGGAAAAGGGCAGCACAGAGGGUGAUACUCCCGUCUUUGCUCAGAUUGUCUGUGUGUACGAUACGCUUUCUUUGAGUCGAGUUGUUUGGGAAUACAGCUCAAAGUAGGUGGUAAAUUCCAUCUAAAGCUAAAUAUUGGUGCGAGACCGAUAGCGAACAAGUACCGUGAGGGAAAGAUGAAAAGAACUUUGAAAAGAGAGUUAAAGAGUACCUGAAACUGUUGAAAGGGAACCGUAUCGUUUCCAGUGUUGUAUCCUGUGCAUAUUUCAUUGGCGGAGUAAUUUGCUGGUGCCCUGUGCAUGGGUGUGACGUCAGAGUCAGUUUGUAUGCUGCGGGAGAUGGUUAGGGAGAAGGUGCGUCACUUCGGUGAAAGUUAUAGCUCUCUAACUAGUUGCCGUGGUUGAGACUGAGGUGCCUACAAUAUGCCUUGGGGUUCCGUGCUGCCUCGUUUUGGUGACUGCUUGGAUAGCUUGCUAUGUCUGUGGUUAAUCAGGGCGAUUGGUGGUGCGGAAAACCUCUGCUGUUCGGGACUCUGGCGAAAUGGAGCGAUACGACCCGUCUUGAAACACGGACCAAGGAGUCUAACAUGUGUGCAAGUAUUAGGGCGUGGAAACCCAAAUGCGUAAUGAAAGUAAAUGCUACUUAGUAGCUGUGGUUAGGAAAGGGCUGUAAUGGUCCUGGCACUAUCGACCGAUCAUGAGCCUACGGGCGAAAGAUUUGAGUAUGAGCAUAUAUGUUGGUACCCGAAAGAUGGUGAACUAUGCCCAAUAAGGGUGAAGCCAGGGGGAAUCUGGGUGGAAGCUCGUAGCGAUUCUGACGUGCAAAUCGAUCGUCAAAUUUGGGUAUAGGGGGCGAAAGACUAAUCGAACCAUCUAGUAGCUGGUUCCCUCCGAAAUUUCCCUCAGGAUAGCAGCAACUUUUUACGAUAG
rnacentral:rRNA from 1 species